rnacentral:rRNA from 1 species
GAGUUUGAUCCUGGCUCAGAUUGAACGCUGGCGGCAUGCCUUACACAUGCAAGUCGAACGGUAACAGGGAGCUUGCUCCGCUGACGAGUGGCGAACGGGUGAGUAAUAUAUCGGAACGUACCAUUCAGUGGGGGAUAACGUAGCGAAAGUUACGCUAAUACCGCAUAUUCUGUGAGCAGGAAAGCAGGGGAUCGCAAGACCUUGCGCUGAUUGAGCGGCCGAUAUCAGAUUAGCUUGUUGGUGAGGUAAAAGCUCACCAAGGCGACGAUCUGUAGCGGGUCUGAGAGGAUGAUCCGCCACACUGGAACUGAGACACGGUCCAGACUCCUACGGGAGGCAGCAGUGGGGAAUUUUGGACAAUGGGGGCAACCCUGAUCCAGCCAUGCCGCGUGAGUGAAGAAGGCCUUCGGGUUGUAAAGCUCUUUCAGCCGGGAAGAAAACGCAUGGGUUAAUACCCUGUGUGGAUGACGGUACCGGAAUAAGAAGCACCGGCUAACUACGUGCCAGCAGCCGCGGUAAUACGUAGGGUGCGAGCGUUAAUCGGAAUUACUGGGCGUAAAGCGUGCGCAGGCGGUUUUGUAAGACAGGCGUGAAAUCCCCGGGCUUAACCUGGGAACUGCGUUUGUGACUGCAAGGCUAGAGUACGGCAGAGGGGGGUGGAAUUCCACGUGUAGCAGUGAAAUGCGUAGAGAUGUGGAGGAACACCAAUGGCGAAGGCAGCCCCCUGGGUCGAUACUGACGCUCAUGCACGAAAGCGUGGGUAGCAAACAGGAUUAGAUACCCUGGUAGUCCACGCCCUAAACGAUGUCAACUAGGUGUUGGGAGGGUAAAACCUUUUAGUACCGGAGCUAACGCGUGAAGUUGACCGCCUGGGGAGUACGGCCGCAAGGUUAAAACUCAAAGGAAUUGACGGGGACCCGCACAAGCGGUGGAUGAUGUGGAUUAAUUCGAUGCAACGCGAAAAACCUUACCUACCCUUGACAUGCCAAGAACUUUCCAGAGAUGGAUUGGUGCCCGAAAGGGAACUUGGACACAGGUGCUGCAUGGCUAUCGUCAGCUCGUGUCGUGAGAUGUUGGGUUAAGUCCCGCAACGAGCGCAACCCUUGUCGUUAAUUGCCAUCAUUUAGUUGGGCACUUUAACGAGACUGCCGGUGACAAACCGGAGGAAGGUGGGGAUGACGUCAAGUCCUCAUGGCCCUUAUGGGUAGGGCUUCACACGUCACACAAUGGUCGGUACAAAGGGUCGCCAAGCCGCGAGGUGGAGCCAACCCCAGAAAGCCGAUCGUAGUCCGGAUCGCAGUCUGCAACUCGACUGCGUGAAGUCGGAA